rnacentral:lncRNA from 7 species
AUGGGGAUAGAUAAGGGAUGGUGGUUAUAGUUUGUCUUGUAGCAGUUGCUCCAAGAAACAGCAGUUUCUAGGUUGUAGCUGUAAGGGCUUGUGGUACUAACAGAGGAGGCAAACAUUUGUGGUUCCAGGUUGUUGUUCAAGCACGACUGAAAGCUUAAGGCUGCACAGUGCUUUGGAAAAUCAAGAAAUGCUUCACUGCAACAAAGUCAGAGACUUAGACAAAUAAAAUGAGGCCAGAAGAGGCCUCCUCAUCAUGAAGAUACUGCGGUACGCCCUGACCGUGCCAGAGUGCUCUCCCGUACUCUCACCCGCGGUGGUGAAGCUGAACUGAAGAUAUGAAUCCCCUGAGUGGGGACAAAUGGAGCUGCCAGAGACAUCCAGUUCUCAUUUUCUGUUUUUCAAGAGGACUUUCCCCAUUUUGUCAUUAGAGAAGCAUGUUUAUUAUUCUGAUGACUUUUUUUUUCCAGUGGAGAAGUAGACAAAGGCUGUUGUCUGCUUUAAACCUGAAGUACUGUGGAAAGCUCUUGGGGAAAAAUGUUAGAACUGUUUUUUUUCUAUUUUUUCCCCUUGCACUUGUCUUUUUUCAGUGUGGCAUCUCUAUGGGAAAUACGUUACCUUUUUUCUUUCUUUCCCCCUUACCUCUGGAGAAUUCCCUUUGUGUUAAAGAUCUCUGCCCUUUGAUACCUCUCUUAAAAAUAACAUUUAUGUAUAUCCAAGUGUCAGAUAACUCUCCAGUGUUGAACAUUCUUGACUCUCUUCUUAUCUCAGUUGUUUGAAAUCUAAUAAUGUUCCCAAAAGUUCAGUGAAAUAUUUUGAAUAGAGAUUCAAUGCUAUUUUUUCCCCCUCCUUCUUGAGAAAUGAGCUUGUGAUAAAAGGUCCUGAACAAGGUCUGAAGAGAUACAUUCAGUACCCAGAUCUACCACAGACUCCCUCCAUAGUAAUGGUCACAUAAUCACUUCUCUGAUUUCCACCAGCAAUUCCUCAUGUCAUCGAGUUACUGUGGUGAUAAAUGAUACACAGCAUUUUGGGAGGUAAUGUGACUCUAUGCCAGUAUAACCCAAGUGAUCUGGUAUUUUGGGGUGGUUUUUGAGGGUUUUGGUUUGGUUUGUUUGGUGGGCUGCUAUUGCUCCUGUAUAGCCUUUUCCGUCAAUAAACUCUAUCUGCAGAA